GGGGGGGGGGGGGGGCGGGGGGGGGGCGGGCGGGGCGGGCGGGGGGGGGGGGGUUGCGGGGUGCGCGAGGGGCGAAGGGGGGAGUAACACGUGGGUGAGCUGCCCGGCACUGCGGGGUAGGCCUGGGAAACGGGGGCUACUACCGGCUCGGAGCCAUUUCGAGGGUGAAGGUUGGACAGUUUUUUCGGUGUAGGAUGAGCUCGCGGCCUAUCAGCUUGUUGGUGGGGUAAUGGCCUACCAAUUCGGCGACGGGGAGCCGGCCUGGGAGGGUGGACGGCCACAGUGGGACUGAGAUACGGCCCAGACUCCUACGGGAGGGAGAAGUGGGGAAUAUUGCACAAGGGGCGCAAGCCUGAUGCAGAGACGCCGCGGGGGGGAUGACGGACUUCGGGUUGGAAACUCAUUUCGCUAGGGACGAAGCUUUUUGUGACGGUACCUAGAUAAGAAGCACCGGCUAACUACGUG
rnacentral:rRNA from 1 species